rnacentral:lncRNA from 1 species
UAAGUUGUGCGUUCCAGGGUGCACUCGCCGGCGAGGCUGCACGGCGCCGGUUUCAUUGCUAAAAUCCGACGGACUUGUUGCAGAACUCGUUUUUUUUGUCGGGAAAGGGCUUCCCCGUGUAACUUUACAGCAGUUAUCGUAGAUAAGACUUGCAAAUUACAGAUGUGGACGGUGAGGGAACGGGAAUUUCACUGAAAGCGCCUGAGAACCAGUAAGAGACCUGCAACAGCUUUGUGCUCCACUGGCGAAUGCUUCCUCCCCUAAUACACAUUAUGUGUGCUUGGAGACACAAGGAGUAAGAUACAGCCCCUCAAGGGACUCGUCAUAGGGAGAGGACACAGCUUUGGGAAUAAAGGGGCCACAAAGGAGGAGAGAGGAGUUUGCUGAAACUUCCCAAGCUCCCAUUCCAGCAGUUCCUGAAGGAUUCAUUUCUCUCUGAGGAUCUCAUGAGGUGGCUUAGCAGCUAGAAUCUCUUCCUUAACAGUGGGAAGAACAACUCCUGGAAAUUUAGGUCGACUUUGACUGGAUUUAAAAGAAAGCUGUACAAUUCCACUUCUGUAUAUACAACCAAAGGAAAUGAGAUGUGCAUACCCAUGUUCAAUGAAGCAUUAUUCACAAUAGCCAAAAUGUGGAACCAAUCCUUAAACAAAAGGAAAACAGAAAAUCUGCUCAAGUCCCUGCAGGCACCUGAGAAAAUCACAACCCACACUUGCGAACCCCUAGGAGACCUAAAGCUGUGGUUUUACAAAUAAACAGAUAAGUAACAUUCCUACUCUUUCCUAUAGGUACUCAAUCUUCUUAACAACUCCCAUCCCACACAGGUUUGCAUCCCCAGCAGAUACAUAUGGCUAUGUGGUCACCCAUUCGAUCAGCCUAUAAAAGACUUGUCUUAUUUGAUAUUGUGAAACCCAUGGUUAUCAGUGUAUAUGAAAAUGUUUGGUUCAGGGGUCAAUGUACAAUAUGACAAGCAAAGUCCUCUAAUACACAGUUAUAUAAAAUCACUCACCUGAGAGCCAAGUGGACAAUUGGCCUUAUAUUGGCUGGAGUUGGAGCCCCAGAGGGAAAAUUUGCCUAUUAUUAGGCAACUCUUCAAAACUUUACUUAUUCGUUUCUAAACACUGUCUCAUAAAAUGGGGGAUGCUUUAGAUGAAUUAAGAUUAGCACUAGAUUACUUAUUCGUUGAAAAUUAGCACUAGAUUUCUUAUUGGUUGAACAAGGAGGAGUGUGCACCAUAAUCAAUAUAACCUGCUGCAGUUAUGUAAACACCUCAGGUCACAUAGAAGAAGAUAUACAGAAAAUACAUGAACAAGCUGUGUGGUUGCGUAAAUAUAACCAAGGCACCAAUCCCAACUGUAUCUGGUCAGCCAUUAGAAGCACCCUCCUGAGUCUCACUUGGUUGUUGCCCUUCCUAGGAACUUUGAUAGUUGUCUUAUUAUUAAUCUUUGGCCCUUGCUUGUUUAAAUUCUUGGUAAAGUUUGUGUUUUUUAGAUUACAACAAUUCCACAUAAAGAUGAUACUGACACAAAGCUUCCAAUCCAUCCCGUCUUCUGAACCGGGAAAUAAAGACACCCUGCCUUUAGGUGUCUUUAGAUCUAGAUCAGGCAUCUAGAGAUUUUUACUCCUCCAAUACUUGGCAGGGUCUAUGCCCGUAGACUCAUCAGGAUACCAUGUAAAUGAGGACCUCCCUUGGUACCCCAGAGGCCAACUGUAGACCCUUAUGAGAAAAUCCUGUCCCCAAAAUGAACAUCCACUGUCAGCAGGAAGAAGUUACAGAAGACCAGCCUUUGCCCUUACGAUUAAGGGUCCUCUUGUAAGUAGAGAGGGGAAUGUUAGGAAAGCAGGAGCCUAGGUGAUCCAGAGUGACACCAUUUUAAAAUAAACUCCACCUGAAAACUAGCAAGGCAUCUGCACACAUCUGUUUAGCAAGUAUAUACUUCUGUAACUGGAAUAAAAAGCGUUAUUUUAGAAUAUGCCUAUAGUUUGUAAUAAUUAGCCGAGGGAAAAAAAGUUCACAUUGGUGUAGGAAAAGUGCCCUAAUGGUCAUGGGUAAUAAUGGGACCGUGGUUCUGGUCAGUGAUUUGAUGGAAGGGGUGUAGAUAAUAUAUUGUUGUAAAUAAUAAAAAUAAAAAAUUGUUGUAAGUAAUAAAAAUAAAAUAAUAUUGUUGUAAGUAAUAAAGUAGGAGAAAUAUUUGGUCUUUUGCUUUUGGGUUAGUGCAACAGUAGUACCAUUACUUGGAGGAGAAGUUAGAGAAGGACAAGAAUAGGCUUGAAUAAGAUGAGUGAGAAGAGAGAAAAAUUCCGUAAGUGGAGAUGGCCAGGGAACACCAGGGCAGCAGAAUCUAACUCUGAAUUUAAUGCUGUUGUCUGUUCAUAUUGCACUGCGCUGUAAUCUCCCUAUCUUUCCUAAACCAUUGGCAAAGUCUGCUAUCCACUGGGGCCUUGGGUCGGUGGUGCUUUGGGAAAUACCAGAAGAGGGAAAGUACGGCAAAUGUGCAGUGUCACAGAUGAUAGGAGGAAAGCUGGCCAGUGGGAUGAUUAAAACAAUUUCGGUGGGAGUGGGAAUUCAGACCAUGUAAAUGGUCUGAAUUAAGAAAAUUUCAAGAAACAAAAAAUGUUUCUAAUGAGCCAAAGUGAAAGCUCUUCAUGAUUUCUUUAUAGAGGCUCUCUAGUGCUUGUCCUAAUUUCCUGAAAUCUCAUGGGUAUCUUACUCUCCUGGUGCCCGCCUCAAACAUUCACUGUAGCAAUUAUAUGAGCAGCCUAGAGAAUCCCAAUCCCAGUGGUCUUGCUCCCUGGAUCUACUUUCUCUUAAAAAUCAUUCCCCUAAGUUUCCGUCACUUGGUUGAAGUUUAGUAGAUAUCUCCACAUCUCCAGCUAGAACAGCACCAGAAUUUCAGGACUAGGGCAAUAGAGUCUGAUAUUAAAUUCUAUUUCUAUCUAUCUAUCUAUCAUCUAUCUAUCUAUCUAUCUAUCUAUCUAUCUAUCUAUCUAUCUAUCUACAGAACAAUUUGUGGGAUAGUAGCUUUGGGGUCCCAGAUCUAGGAUGGGCCUGGUCCUCCAUGCUGGUUCUCCUGGGUGAUAUUUCUGUUAGUUUGAACAGUAAUCACACUUUUAUUACUGUUUCAUCUUUUUUUUUUCACUCUUAGACUGAUUUUAUCAUGUGUAUAAAACAUACACACACCUACAUCUCAAGGAUAAACAUUAAUCCUUGAAAAAUAUGUGGUCUAAAACUAUAUUGAGGAGAGAAAGAUAGGACACUUUAAUUGCCACAUGAUUAACACGAGGUCACCACACAGCUUUCACAAAUCUACAAGUCAUUCUAUUUAGGCUGAGUCAAGUUCUCCCUUGGGCCAGCCAGAGCACAAAUAAUGGAGCAAUGUGACUCUUCAAUGACAGAUCUCUGAUUUCCAGAAAAGAGACUUUGAAAUACCCAAUUCUAGUAAAUAUGCAAUUAAAUUUCCAGCUAAAUGACCUUUGCUCCUGUAGUCUUCAUCUUGGGGAAGGGAAAGAAGUCUUAUUCUGUUUAAUAGUUUGAUUUUUAUAAUAGGGUUUGUCUCUGUUAUAAAUCUUGUUUGAUAUUUAAAAUGUUAGCUAAGAGAAAACUUCUGUUUGUUUUUAUUUAGUGGGAAGAAACUAACCCUCAUUGAGUGCCUAGUUAACAUCAGGCACUUUGUACACAUAAUCAAUUGAAUCUUGACCACAACCCUGUGAGGUGAAAAAUGAGAAGAUUAAAUAAGCCAUGGGAAGAUUUUUUAAAAUGACAUGAAACUCCAAGGGUAAAAAGUAGGCUGGGAAAUCUUAGGAUGGUGAACCAUCAUGUUUCCUGAAUGUGAAUCCUGUACCUGGUUUGACUGUAGUCACCCCUUCUCCAACACUCUCCACGAUGCCGGCUGCCUCAUGGCCUAAAAUCACAGGAAGUGGGGUCACCAUGGUACCACUAACCACGUGGUCAUCUGUGCCACAGAUUCCUACAGCCACCAUCUACAGAGUGAAGAGAAGAUGUUUAUAAAAGAUUGUGAGUCUCAGGAUGUUCAACAUGAUCAAUGCCAAAUAAAUAUCAGAAUACUUGGAAGUAAAGUACUAAUAGUAGGAGUUCCUGAUUAUCAGGUGCCUAUGAUGUGACAGGCACAUUGUGGCCUGUGCUCGACCAGGAGACUGGUGAGUCCUUGUGGAUUUCUUCCCUGCUCAAGUGCAUAAAGCAGGUGUAUUGCAUAGCUUUUCCAGGCUGAGAUCAAAGACGGAGAUGUGCCUACCCGCAGAUCCUAGAUGGCCAUGUUUGCAACAGAGGUAAUGAUGAGCAGUGCGAAGAUGUGACUCCAAAGCCUGGAGAAGGACAGACCAGCAUCCCUGCAAGAGAUCCAACUGUCUUCUUUUCCGCAGAGGUCCAUAAUUUACAUGGGCCUGACAAAGAAUACUGUAACUUGCAGAAAUUAUCUUCAGUUCAAAUCCUUCAUUUUGGGGGUUAAAUAACUUGCCCAAGAUGUCGAGGGAGCGGAAAUACUUGCUGGUCUUGCAGCGGCUGUGGAGCCUGGAAUCCUGCCAAGAAGAGCAUGUGUGAGAGAUCAAAAUGUUUGCUUACAUUCCUCCUGUGAAGGGAGUUGGGAAAUAACCUAAGAAGCCCAAUCCAAAAACAAAGAUGUACCAUCCAGUCUUCUCUGUGAGAACCAAACUACAAACCAUCUGAAUGUUCCAAAAGUGUUUUGAUGAUGUAUUGAUGUAUUUUAAAUUAUCCUGAAAAUGUUCUUGGCAGAUGCUUAAACAUGUAAUUACUGAGAUGAUGUAGAAAUACCAAGUGUUUAUUAAAACAAUACAGAGUAAUACAAAUGGUAUGUUUGUCGCAAUAUAAAAGUAUCUAAAAAUUAAAGAGUUCUUUAAUGGU